rnacentral:lncRNA from 1 species
CAGGUCAAUUAUCUGUAUUGAAUGGCUGGAGAAUACAAACCUAGUACAAAUGUAUAUAGAGGAAUGAAGAGGCCUCACAAUUAUAACUGACUGUCAUUGGGUAAUUUUAUUAUUAAUAAAAAAUUGAGAAUGGAAAUGGGGAAUGUGUCAAAGAGACAACAACCUGACAAAAGAGCAGAAAACAGCCAAAGACCACCAAUAGCUCUACAACACACUGAGAAAAUCACUGCACACAAAGGCAUGCUUCAGCUGCCACCUAAACAAAAAUGUGUACUACUCCUGGUAACAUGGGGUCAAGGUGAUAAUGAAUGUUCUACUACAUGUAUACUACGAAAUAUAUAAAUGAACUAAAAUUAAAAAUCAUACAAGACUAACAAAGGCAAGAGGCUCCUGACUUGGGACAUACGCAAAAAUGUGUAGGGGUUAAACAUGUUUUGCAAGAUCUCAACCUAUCCAGCUAGCCAUUGUAGAAAAACAAAAACAAUAGGCACAGUAAAUCUCAGUUUAAAGAAGUCAUAUUUAGUCCUAUGUCAGAAUAGGAAACAAAACAAACUAAGCAAAAUUACGAUACAUAAAUUAACAAAGGACUACUAGCAGUUACUGACAUGUUCCUCAGACAUAUGUGAACUUAACUAAAUGUCAUACACAAUAUAUGUUUUAUCACUUUUUUACUUCUUUUUUUUUAGCAUAUGAAAUAUAUCUUGAAUAUAUUGUAACAAUGUUUUUUUUAAGAAUAUUUUUUUUGUACCCUAAUACCGGUACGACAUGAAUUACAUGUACCAAUAAGAAAAAUAAUUUCUUUGGUUUUAUUCCAAUACAGAUGCAUGAAGUCAGACUAAAUGUUUUUGAACCUUGCAUAUCUACUUGAACUUGUUUCUUAGUUUGCAAAAUUACUUUAUUCAGUAAAAUUUCUAAACAAAUGUAUAGUUUUGUAGUCAUUGGUCUCAUACAAAUUGCAUUUUAUUAAACUUGGGUAAAUUAUAUUUCAGCAAAAGGCUUUGCCAUCAAAUACAUGUAUUUCAUCUCCGAAGAAUAAGAACAACAGUCCUGAUGAUGGUGACAGGUCAAAUUAAUCUAACAGGUAACACAUUCAUGACAUAUUGUUUUCAGGCUUUUCCAUUUAAACAUGCAUGCAUGCAUAUUGGGACCAGGGAAGACACUUAGAGAUCCAAAGUUACAAUGUGUAGUGGGGUUAAUUCCAUUGAAAAUGUUAGUGAAAUUCUCAGUUGGCUUCUAUCAGUUGAUUAUUGAUUGACUUUAUUAACUUAAUAUUUCUGUAACAAUUGUACAUGUAAUAACAAUUAGCCACUUCAUGAUAUCCAUUACCAAAAAUGUUGUAUAGUCUGAUUAUAACCACAGAAUUUACUUUGCUUUUCAGAUACUAGUGAAGAAAUAAAGAAACAAGAGUAGACACCAUUUGACCAACUGUGCUUACAAUACUUGUGCAAUAGUUGUAAUUGAUGUCCAUACUACAUUGUA